GAUAUGGAGAGCGUGGUAGGAAUACAGGAUCCUUGAGAAGGCCAAAGACUAUGUGGUCCAGAGCAGAAGUUAUGUCCAUGGUGUAAAUCCUAAAAGCACCUGCUUGAGGAAGUCAGGAAGCACAUGCAAGCUUACAGUCAACUCAGCCUCUACACACCUCUCUCCCUGCAGUCAGUCCUGGAAUGCACCAUCACACAUGGUGGUAGAGGGAACCACACAUUCAGAAGUGUGAAAUAAUCAAUAGGAUCAAACUCAGCAGAAAACUAAAUGCAUCACUUCCGAGAAGCAUUCCCAACCGAUGGAACUCCUCUUUGAUACACGGAUCAAUUAAAGAUAUUAAACCCAAAUAAAUACUGCUCUGAAGAGACACGCCUAACAUGGA